CCUACGGGGGGCAGCAGUAGGGAAUUUUGUACAAGGGUAAACCUGAAUACGUGUAUUCAGCUGGAAGUACUGUACGAAUAAAGAUCGGCUAACUCCGUGCCAGCAGCCGCGGUAAUACGGAGCGUCCAAGCGUUAUCCGGAUUUAUGGGGUUAAAGGGGUGCGUAGGCGGAUUGAUAAGUUAGAGGUGAAAUGUCCGAGCUUAACUCGGAAACUGCCUCUAAUACUGUUGAUCUAGAGAGUAGAUGCGGUAGGCGGAAUGUAUGGUGUAGCGGUGAAAUGCUUAGAGAUCAUACAGAACACCGAUUGCGAAGGCAGCUUACCAAUCUAUAUCUGACGUUGAGGAACGAAAGCGUGGGGAGCAAACAGGAUUAGAUACCCCAUAGUC
rnacentral:rRNA from 1 species